rnacentral:lncRNA from 1 species
UUCAAGUCCUUGGCUUGAGCAAUAGCUCUUGCAUUUCUCUGAGAAGCAGAUGUGAUGAUAAACUUCUCACCAAACAGAAUAAAUGUUUGCUGAUCCCAAGGUGAUAUGUUACCGCAGCCCCAUGUUGUUAGGCACAGAAAAACGUCGCUGGAGACUUCUCCUCCCACUCAGCGUGUCCCCACCUGGGGCCCCACUCACACAUCUCUCAGUCCCAACAGCAGCUGAGCAGGAGCAGCAAACAUGCUGCUGCUGGCAGCUCUGAUGCUUGCAACUGCCUGGUCUUAUGGAUUAGCACAGGAAACUCCCAUACAGAGCCCUGUAUCCAUCACCGUGGCACAAGGAAACACUGAUCUGAAGUGUCAUUUUAAGGACUUCUCUGGAAAUUUUGAUAACACCGUCAUACACUGGUAUCAACAGAAGGAGAAUAAAGCUCCAGUCAGGAUGAUCUACUUUUCAUCAGGGAAAGUAGUAGCAGAUGAGGGUUUCCAAAGGCACAGAUACAUGAUUCAAACUAUUUCUAGACAGAAACUUUGCACUCUUACCAUAAGAAAUGUAAUUCCGGAUGAUGCUGCUACUUACUAUUGUGCCUACUGGGACCCUCACUGUGGCAGAUGCCAAACAAUCACCUCAACAAAUACUUCCUCAGCAGCUCAACCACAGAUCAUUUGGAAUGAUCUGGUGCCAGGCAGAUUUCUGCUCUGUGGGCAGAAGAAUAGCA